UUUUUGGCAGGCGGGUCAGCCGCAUCCGCACGGCCCUUAGACGCCGAACAGUGGAAACUAUUCCAAAUACGCAUCUCGUUUCAAAUUUGACCGGCAAACCAAACCCAGAAAGAACAGCGAACUGGACCAAGUGCCGAGGGUCGUAAGCUUGGACCGUGCGUGCGUGCGUGCGUGCAAAAACCCCAUCGACUAAAACGUGCACCUGAUCGCAUCGCAUAGUAGGAGAGCAGUUCAGAAACAAAACACAAUCCUCUCCGACUUUCCCCUUCCCGGAGAUGCAAAAAGGCCUCGUCGCCCACCCGACAAACCCCGGAUAGCGGUGGAAAGCGAUAGAACCCGCCAGGGCCUCGCACGUCACCGCAUCCCGUUCCCCCCCGAGUCCGUCGACAGCGACUGCCCGGUCGCCGGAGAAAAUGACGUCGACCGUGGUCACCGUCACCGUCACCACCACCGCCACCNNNNNN
rnacentral:lncRNA from 1 species